AUUGAACGCUGGCGGCAUGCUUUACACAUGCAAGUCGAACGGUAACAGGGUGCUUGCACCGCUGACGAGUGGCGAACGGGUGAGUAAUGCGUCGGAACGUGCCGAGUAGUGGGGGAUAACGCAGCGAAAGUUGUGCUAAUACCGCAUACGUACUGAGGUGGAAAGUGGGGGACCUUCGGGCCUCACGCUAUUCGAGCGGCCGACGUCUGAUUAGCUAGUAGGUGAGGUAAAGGCUCACCUAGACGACGAUCAGUAGCGGGUCUGAGAGGAUGAUCCGCCACACUGGGACUGAGACACGGCCCAGACUCCUACGGGAGGCAGCAGUGGGGAAUUUUGGACAAUGGGCGAAAGCCUGAUCCAGCCAUGCCGCGUGUCUGAAGAAGGCCUUCGGGUUGUAAAGGACUUUUGUCAGGGAGGAAAUCCCUAGUGCUAAUAACACUGGGGGAUGACAGUACCUGAAGAAUAAGCACCGGCUAACUACGUGCCAGCCGCCGCAGUAA
rnacentral:rRNA from 1 species